CAGGUUGUAAUUAGAACACUACUAUUCUCCUUCUCCAAAUUAACUGUGAUGUUGUCCAAGGCCAGGAAUGGAUCUGAAACCCCAGCUACAGUGACCCAGGAAAUAUCUACGGAUUAGAUCCAAGGAACAGAGAUGACAUAAGAGAAAAGCCCAGGUCGUCAGCUCUGGCUUAUAUGUCUAUUGUGUGGCUAUGGCUCAGUCAAUGAAGCACUCUCAGCUUGUCACCUCUUUUGUAUAAGACAAUGGGAUGGCAAUAAUAGAGUUUCUAUCACCUUCUAGGGGAUUUUGAGGACAGAUCAGAUGAUGAUUACUUAAGUUCUUUAUGGGCUGAAAGAGAAAGAAUUCCAAAAUAAUGACUAAUAUGUAUUAAGAAGCCAUUGUGUGCCAGGAAGCACAUGUACUCUGCACAGCAACCCUAGGAGGAAAGGAUUUUUGUUAUCCCCAUUUUAGAGUGGGAAAGCUGAGGCACAGGGAGGCUACACAAGUUUUCUGAGGACACACAGACCUAAAGUCCAGGUCUCUAGACUUCCAGUGCAGUGUUCUUUCUACUGAAGUCAGUGUGUUACAGGCUGCAAAAAUCCCCUAGGUUAUCAUCUGUGGAAGUGUGCUUGGGGAAUGUGUUGUUGCUCUGAAUAUGUUCUCUCACCUGGGGAGCAGGUACAGAAUGUGGAAAUGAAGAGUUCCCCCUGAGGCUACAGGACUUCACAUGGUGCAUCAGUUUUCAAGAUGAGUCACCAAGGGACCUGGGACCAAAUCUCUCUGAGGUGGUUUGGUGAAAAUGAACAAGUACAGAUCAACCUUGGUUUAAAAAUAAAUACUUUUUCUCUUUUUUCUAUGUUUCUG
rnacentral:lncRNA from 1 species